rnacentral:rRNA from 1 species
UACAUGCAAGUCGAAACGCACUCUCGUUUAGAUUGAAGGAGCUUACUCCUGAUUGAUAAACAUUUGAGUGAGUGGCGACGGGUGAGUAACACGUGGGGUAACCUGGCCCUAAAGUGGGGGAUAACAUUUGGAAACAGAUGCUAAUACCGCAUAAAACCUAACACCGCAUGGUGUAGGGUUGAAAGAUGGUUUCGGCUAUCACUUUAGGAUGGACCCGCGGUGCAUUAGUUAGUUGGUGAGGUAAAAGGCUCACCAAGACCGUGAUGCAUAGCCGACCUGAGAGGGUAAUCGGCCACACUGGGACUGAGACACGGCCCAGACUCCUACGGGAGGCAGCAGUAGGGAAUCUUCCACAAUGGACGAAAGUCUGAUGGAGCAACGCCGCGUGAGUGAAGAAGGUUUUCGGAUCGUAAAACUCUGUUGCUGGAGAAGAAUGUAUCUGAUAGUAACUGAUCAGGUAGUGACGGUAUCCAACCAGAAAGCCACGGCUAACUACGUG